rnacentral:rRNA from 1 species
CGGAAUGGGUGAGUAAUGCGUGACCAACCUGCCCCAUGCUCCAGAAUAGCUCUUGGAAACGGGUGGUAAUGCUGGAUGCUCCAACUUGACGCAUGUCUUGUUGGGAAAGUGUUUAGUGGCAUGGGAUGGGGUCGCGUCCUAUCAGCUUGUAGGCGGGGUAAUGGCCCACCUAGGCUUCGACGGGUAGCCGGCCUGAGAGGGCGGACGGCCACAUUGGGACUGAGAUACGGCCCAGACUCCUACGGGAGGCAGCAGGG